rnacentral:rRNA from 1 species
UACGUAGGGGGCUAGCGUUGUCCGGAAUCAUUGGGCGUAAAGCGCGUGUAGGCGGUCCGGUAAGUCCGCUGUGAAAGUCGGGGGCUCAACCCUCGAAUGCCGGUGGAUACUGUCGGGCUAGAGUGCGGAAGAGGCGGAGUGGAAUUCCGUGGUGUAGCGGUGAAAUGCGCAGAUAUCAGGAGGAACACCAAUUGACGAAGGCAGCUCGCUGGGGACGUAACUGA